GGGUGGAGGUUUAUACUCCACCUUCAGUCUUUGGGGGGUGGGGCGAAGGGAGUUGCCUUGUUAUUUCCUAAACGUUUUCUGUCUUGCUAGGCAACUCCUUUCCGUCUCCUUUGGCUCAAGUGAGCACACUUUUCUAGAGGCUUUUUCUGUCUGCCUGUUGGCAAUGCCAGGUUGCAUCUUCCAUCCUCAGCCCGGGAUAUAUGACAGCAGCCGACAAACUGGGCACCCUCACCCCCGUGUACGUCCGCAGGUCCGAGGACCCUUCCUGAUCCACUGUCUGCUCUCCCAUUUCAGGAUUUUUUAUGUCAAGAUCAAACACAAGUUGGUCAGCGAGGCCUGGAAAGCCCUGGAAGGAGCUGUGGGGAAGGUGUAGAAAAGAUGUGUCUGGCACAUUUCGCACACUUUCUUCUCUUGUAUAAUGAAAACAAGGUAGUCCAUA